CAUUAAGAAACUGACCCACAGCUAGCAAGCAGGGAACUGAGCUCGUGUCCAGGAAGUCUGGCUCCGGUGGUAACUGCUUCUAAUAGAUUCAGCACCUGGUUUUCCUCUUAAACUUAGCACAUUGAAUCCAAUCUUUCUUUUUUCAUGAAAACAUAAAGUUUCCCUUUUCUCCCUGAAGGACUUAUUUUCAUAAUGUGAUGAGAUUUAUUUUCCAUGCAAGGUAUUCAGGUUAACAUGGUUUUAUUUUAAUGGCUUCUUGUUUUUGUUCCACUAUUUUUAUACUGACUGUUCAUUUACAGAUGUGGUAUGGAUUUUGCACUUGGAAU
rnacentral:lncRNA from 1 species